CCUACGGGUGGCAGCAGUGGGGAAUAUUGCACAAUGGGCGCAACCCUGAUCCAGCAACGCCGCGUGAAGGAAGAAGGCUUUCGGGUUGUACACUUCUUUUCUGAGGGACGAAGAAAGUGACGGUACCUCAAGAAUAAGCCACGGCUAACUACGUGCCAGCCGCCGCGGUAAUACGUAGGGGGCAAGUGUUAUCCGGAUUUAUUGGGUUUAAAGGGGGCGUAGGCCGCAGGUCAAGCGUGCUGUGAAAUGUCCGGGCUCAACCCGGGACUUGCAGCGCGAACUGGCGUGCUGGAGUUCGCGGAAGGCAGGCGGAAUUCGUCGUGUAGCGGUGAAAUGCGUAGAUAUGACGAAGAACCCCGAUGGCGAAGGCAGCUUGCUGCAGCGGAACUGACGUGGAUGCUCGAAAGCGCGGGUAGCGAACAGGAUUAGAUACCCUUGUAGUC
rnacentral:rRNA from 1 species